rnacentral:rRNA from 1 species
GAUCCUGGCUCAGAUUGAACGCUGGCGGCAUGCCUUACACAUGCAAGUCGAACGGUAACAGGUCUUCGGACGCUGACGAGUGGCGAACGGGUGAGUAAUACAUCGGAACGUGCCCAGUCGUGGGGGAUAACUACUCGAAAGAGUAGCUAAUACCGCAUACGAUCUGAGGAUGAAAGCGGGGGACCUUCGGGCCUCGCGCGAUUGGAGCGGCCGAUGGCAGAUUAGGUAGUUGGUUGGGAUAAAAG